rnacentral:tRNA from 1 species
GGCCUUAUAGUAUAAAAAUACAUUAGAUUGCAAAUCUGAAAAUGUGAUAACACUGAGGUUU